UUGAAAAGACUAAGAUAAGGAUGAGCAUUACUCAUCAAUGUAGUCUUGAUGAAAUGAGAAACAAAGUGCAAGGCAUAUCCUUCCCACACACACACUACUAGCAAAUGGGUCACAAGCUUACAAAAAAACGAUUAAGAACCAACGCUUGCGACAACCCAUGGUGAAUACAGGAAAUAAUAACCUUGUCAAGAGGAGGGAUACCAAUCGAAAUGGCAAAACCCUCGUCAAGACAAGCAUGAUGAAAAAAAUCUUCACCACCAAUGAGUGCAUCAAGAUGCAAGGAUAUAAGA
rnacentral:lncRNA from 1 species